AAUUAAUGAGCCUGAGGUAAACGCUAGCUAACAGUUAACGGAAGUGACGUGGUGGCUGGCGUCUGGUACGUGCACCAUUGUGUGUGUGUGUGUGUGUGUGUGUGUGUG